GAUGAAGAACGUAGCGAAAUGUGAUAAGUAGUGUGAAUUACAGAAUUCAGUGAAUCAUCGAAUCUUUGAACGCACAUUGCGCCCUUUGGUAUUCCUUAGGGCAUGCCUGUUCGAGCGUCAUUUAAACCUUCAAGCUCAGCUUGGUGUUGGGUGACUGUCCGCUUCACCGCGGACUCGCCUCAAAAUUAUUGGCGGCCGGUACAUUGGCUUCGAGCGCAGCAGAAACGCGAACUCGGGCCCGUCGUAUUGGCUCCCAGAAGCUAUCUUCACAAUUUUGACCUCGGAUCAGGUAGGGAUACCCGCUGAACUUAAGCAUAUCAAUAAUCGGAGGA
rnacentral:misc_RNA from 1 species